rnacentral:rRNA from 1 species
GAUGAACGCUGGCGGCGUGCCUAACACAUGCAGGUCGAGCGUGAUUGUGUGGAUUGAAGCUUCGGCAGAGAGAAACACAUGAAAGCGGCGGACGGGUGAGUAACGCGUGGGCAACCUGCCCCAUACAGCGGAAUAGCCACUGGAAACGGUGAUUAAUGCCGCAUAAGACCACAGUAUCGCAUGGUACGGGGGUCAAAGAUUUAUCGGUAUGGGGAUGGGCCCGCGUCAGAUUAGCUAGUUGGUGAGGUAACGGCUCACCAAGGCGACGAUCAGUAGCCGACCUGAGAGGGCGGGCGGCCACACUGGAACUGAGACACGGUCCAGACUCCUACGGGAGGCAGCAGUGGGGAAUAUUGCACAAUGGGCGCAAGCCUGAUGCAGCAACGCCGCGUGAGUGAAGAAGGCCUUCGGGUCGUAAAGCUCUGUCCUGUGGGAAGAAAAAAAUGACGGUACCACAGGAGGAAGCCCCGGCUAACUACGUGCCAGCCGCCGCAGUAA